GACGAACGCUGGCGGCGUGCUUAACACAUGCAAGUCGAACGGAAAGGCCCUGCUUUUGUGGGGUGCUCGAGUGGCGAACGGGUGAGUAACACGUGAGUAACCUGCCCUUGACUUUGGGAUAACUUCAGGAAACUGGGGCUAAUACCGGAUAGGAGCUACUGCUGCAUGGUGGGGGUUGGAAAGUUUCGGCGGUUGGGUAUGGACUCGAGGCUUAUCCGCUUGUUGGGGGGGUAGUGGCUUACAAAGCCUGUGACGGGUAGCCGGCCUGGGAGGGUGGACGGCCACAUUGGGACUGAGAUACGGCCCAGACUGCUACGGGAGGCAGCAGUGGGGAAUAUUGCACAAUGGGCGGAAGCCUGAUGCAGCAACGCCGCGUGCGGGAUGACGGCCUUCGGGUUGUAAACCGCUUUCGCCUGUGACGAAGCGUGAGUGACGGUAAUGGGUAAAGAAGCACCGGCUAACUACGUG
rnacentral:rRNA from 1 species